UUUAGAUGGCGACCGGCGCACGGGUGAGUAACACGUAUCCAACCUGCCCUUUACUCGGGGAUAGCCUUUCGAAAGAAAGAUUAAUACCCGAUAGCAUAAUGAUUCCGCAUGGUUUCAUUAUUAAAGGAUUCCGGUAAAGGAUGGGGAUGCGUUCCAUUAGGUUGUUGGUGAGGUAACGGCUCACCAAGCCUUCGAUGGAUAGGGGUUCUGAGAGGAAGGUCCCCCACAUUGGAACUGAGACACGGUCCAA
rnacentral:rRNA from 1 species